rnacentral:rRNA from 1 species
CCUACGGGAGGCAGCAGUGAGGAAUAUUGGUCAAUGGGCGCGAGCCUGAACCAGCCAAGUAGCGUGCAGGAUGACGGCCCUAUGGGUUGUAAACCGCUUUUGUUGGGGAGCAAUAAGGUCCACGUGUGGAUUGAUGAGAGUACCCAGCGAAUAAGCAUCGGCUAACUCCGUGCCAGCAGCCGCGGUAAU